AAGUCGUAACAAGGUUUCCGUAGGUGAACCUGCGGAAGGAUCAUUAUCGAGUGAGGGCCUUCGGGCUCGACCUCCCACCCUUGUGUUGUCUACCGCGUUGCUUCGGGGCCGCCGGCAGACGCCCGCGCCCCGGAGGACCAUCCAACUCUGCAUUUCUGCGUCCGAGUCUAAUGGAAAAUACAUGAAAACUUUCAACAACGGAUCUCUUGGUUCUG
rnacentral:misc_RNA from 1 species